UGGCUAUCAGCCUUUAGUUACCACUGAUUUUAUUACUGGAUUAUUAGUUUAGAUGCCCAGUCACCUGGCAAGGUUUGAGGAGGUAGAACCCGGAUAGAAACAUCUUGAUGGAGAGAGGGUGAGCUGAGAACCCAGGACACUGGCCCAUAGCAUGCUCAGGGCGGAAUAGCAAAAAGGCAGAAAGAUGGCUCAGGACCCAGAGCAGGGAAGAAGCCAAAAGACCAACAAUGCCUGUUGAGAAGCCCUGGAGAGCGAGGCCAUCAACGGGUGGGCAAAGAGGAAGGGAAAGAAAAAGCGUGCCCCAGCCUGCUGGAGGCAUUUGGAGUUCACAGGGCCGCUCAUUCGCCACCCCAAUUAAAGGCUUUCUGCUUCGUGCCUCGCCUUGCUGUGGUUUUUCCAGACAGAAGUGGCUUUGUUACUGGGUGAGCACCGGGGCCUGGAAGCAGCUGUGAGUAUGUGGACUUCCUGGUUGCAGCCUUUCUCCUCUGAAUGCUUCUCUGGGACCUCUUGGUCCGGAGCCUUUUAUCUCCCGUGUUUCAUCUGAUUCUCACUGAGUAUAUUCUGUAAUUUGCUUUGUCAACUGCCGCUUCCAAGGAAUCAUUCUCUCUUGAUCUUUCACUCUUCAAUACCUUUUUUUGUCCUUUCCACUCAACUAUCCUUUGUAUGUCUUCAUGCUUGUUGCUUCAUGGUCCAAGAUGGCAGCCCCAUCUCUGCCAUCACACCCCUCAACCAGGUUGUAAAGAACUCUUCCUUCUCAGGACAUUUCUUUGGCUCUUGGCCAUGUCAUGCCUUGCAGUCCAUUUCUGAUGCAUUUUCAUCUCUGCAUGUCUUGUCUGUCCAAGUGGACUAUAAGUUCAGUGCAGAGACACUCAGCACUCAUUCACACAUGGAAUGUCCACCCACAGACAUAUGGCUUAUGCUACUUCCCUGUGCCCGCUGACACCCUCCUCCACCCUAACUCCACUCCACUCCACAGUCAGGAUCUGAGCCCUCCUUUUUUGCAGCUACCUCUUGCCUCCUUCAAUCAUUUCUGGCAGCU
rnacentral:lncRNA from 1 species